AGAGACUUAGGAUAAUUUAAACCAAGGGCCUUCAAAGCCCUAAAUAGGGGCUUUAACCCCCUAGACUCUG
rnacentral:tRNA from 1 species